rnacentral:ncRNA from 8 species
UACGGAGGGUGCAAGCGUUAAUCGGAAUUACUGGGCGUAAAGCGCACGCAGGCGGUUUGUUAAGUCAGAUGUGAAAUCCCCGGGCUCAACCUGGGAACUGCAUCUGAUACUGGCAAGCUUGAGUCUCGUAGAGGGGGGUAGAAUUCCAGGUGUAGCGGUGAAAUGCGUAGAGAUCUGGAGGAAUACCGGUGGCGAAGGCGGCCCCCUGGACGAAGACUGACGCUCAGGUGCGAAAGCGUGGGGAGCAAACAGG